GUCGCGCUAGCGCGAGUGACUGGCGGUUUGCAGGACCGCCGGGGGCGUUCGAUCUGCUGCGCGACG
rnacentral:tRNA from 1 species